rnacentral:rRNA from 1 species
UACGAAGGUGUCAAACGUUGUCCGGAAUAACUGGGCGUAAAGGGCGCGUAGGCGGUCGCGUAAGUCAGAUGUGAAAGCUCUGGGCUCAACCCAGGAAUUGCAUUUGAUACUGCGUGACUCGAGUUCGGUAGAGGAGGGCGGAAUUCCAGGUGUAGCGGUGAAAUGCGUAGAUAUCUGGAGGAACACCCGUGGCGAAGGCGGCUCUCUGGUCCGAUACUGACGCUGAGGCGCGAAAGGUAGGGUAGCAAACAGGAUUAGAAACCCGAGUAGU